GGUUAAGCGAAUAAGCGUACACGGUGGAUGCCUAGGCAAUCAGAGGCGAUGAAGGACGUGCUAAUCUGCGAAAAGCGUCGGUAAGGUGAUAUGAACCGUUAUACCCGACGAUAUCCGAAUGGGGAAACCCAGUAUCCAAUGGAUACUAUCAUUAACUGAAUCCAUAGGUUAAUGAGGCGAACCGGGAGAACUGAAACAUCUCAGUACCCCGAGGAAAAGAAAUCAACCGAGAUUCCCCUAGUAGCGGCGAGCGAACGGGGAGCAGCCCAGAGUCUUAAUCAAUAGCAGUGUCAGGAGAACGGUCUGGAAAGUCCGGCAGUAAAGGGUGAUAGCCCCGUAUCUGAAGAUGCUGUUAUUGUGAACUCGACGAGUAGGGCGGGACACGUGUUAUCCUGUCUGAAUAUGGGGGGACCAUCCUCCAAGGCUAAAUACUCCUGAUUGACCGAUAGUGAACCAGUACCGUGAGGGAAAGGCGAAAAGAACCCCGGCGAGGGGAGUGAAAAAGAACCUGAAACCGUGUACGUACAAGCAGUAGGAGCCUCUUUAUGGGGUGACUGCGUACCUUUUGUAUAAUGGGUCAGCGACUUAUAUUCUGUAGCAAGGUUAACCGUAUAGGGGAGCCGUAGGGAAACCGAGUCUUAACUGGGCGAAUGAGUUGCAGGGUAUAGACCCGAAACCCGGUGAUCUAUCCAUGGGCAGGUUGAAGGUUGGGUAACACUAACUGGAGGACCGAACCGACUAAUGUUGAAAAAUUAGCGGAUGACUUGUGGAUGGGGGUGAAAGGCCAAUCAAACCGGGAGAUAGCUGGUUCUCCCCGAAAGCUAUUUAGGUAGCGCCUCGUGAACUCAUCUUCGGGGGUAGAGCACUGUUUCGACUAGGGGGUCAUCCCGACUUACCAACUCGAUGCAAACUGCGAAUACCGAAGAAUGUUAUCACGGGAGACACACGGCGGGUGCUAACGUCCGUCGUGAAGAGGGAAACAACCCAGACCGCCAGCUAAGGUCCCAAAGUCAUGGUUAAGUGGGAAACGAAGUGGGAAGGCUCAGACAGCCAGGAUGUUGGCUUAGAAGCAGCCAUCAUUUAAAGAAAGCGUAAUAGCUCACUGGUCGAGUCGGCCCGCGCGGAAGAUGUAACGGGGCUAAACCAUGCACCGAAGCUGCGGCAGCGACACAAAGUGUUGUUGGGUAGGGGAGCGUUCUGUAAGCCUGCGAAGGUGUACUGUGAGGUAUGCUGGAGGUAUCAGAAGUGCGAAUGCUGACAUAAGUAACGAUAAUGCGGGUGAAAAACCCGCACGCCGGAAGACCAAGGGUUCCUGUCCAACGUUAAUCGGGGCAGGGUGAGUCGACCCCUAAGGCGAGGCUGAAAAGCGUAGUCGAUGGGAAACGGGUUAAUAUUCCCGUACUGGUGGUAACUGCGAUGGGGGAACGGAGAAGGCUAGGUUGUCCGGGCGACGGUCGUCCCGGUUCAAGCAGGUAGGCAGAGUGAUUAGGCAAAUCCGGUCACUUAAUGCUGAGAUGUGAUGACGAACCACCAAGGUGGUGAAGCAAUUGAUGCCCCGCUUCCAGGAAAAGCCUCUAAGCUUCAGGUUACCAACAAUCGUACCCCAAACCGACACAGGUGGUCAGGUAGAGAAUACUCAGGCGCUUGAGAGAACUCGGGUGAAGGAACUAGGCAAAAUGGUGCCGUAACUUCGGGAGAAGGCACGCUGGCGGUAGGUAAAGUCCCUCGCGGACAGAGCUGAAGCCAGUCGAAGAUACCAGCUGGCUGCAACUGUUUAUUAAAAACACAGCACUGUGCAAACACGAAAGUGGACGUAUACGGUGUGACGCCUGCCCGGUGCUGGAAGGUUAAUUGAUGGGGUCAGCCGCAAGGCGAAGCUCCUGAUCGAAGCCCCAGUAAACGGCGGCCGUAACUAUAACGGUCCUAAGGUAGCGAAAUUCCUUGUCGGGUAAGUUCCGACCUGCACGAAUGGCGUAAUGAUGGCCAGGCUGUCUCCACCCGAGACUCAGUGAAAUUGAACUCGCUGUGAAGAUGCAGUGUACCCGCGGCAAGACGGAAAGACCCCGUGAACCUUUACUAUAGCUUGACACUGAACAUUGAGCCUUGAUGUGUAGGAUAGGUGGGAGGCUUUGAAGUGUGGACGCCAGUCUGCAUGGAGCCAACCUUGAAAUACCACCCUUUAACGUUUGAUGUUCUAACCUAGGCCCAUAAACUGGGUCGGGGACCGUGUCUGGUGGGUAGUUUGACUGGGGCGGUCUCCUCCUAAAGAGUAACGGAGGAGCACGAAGGUUGGCUAAGCAUGGUCGGACAUCAUGCGGUUAGUGCAAAGGCAUAAGCCAGCUUGACUGCGAGAGUGACGGCUCGAGCAGGUACGAAAGUAGGUCUUAGUGAUCCGGUGGUUCUGAAUGGAAGGGCCAUCGCUCAACGGAUAAAAGGUACUCCGGGGAUAACAGGCUGAUACCGCCCAAGAGUUCAUAUCGACGGCGGUGUUUGGCACCUCGAUGUCGGCUCAUCACAUCCUGGGGCUGAAGUAGGUCCCAAGGGUAUGGCUGUUCGCCAUUUAAAGUGGUACGCGAGCUGGGUUUAGAACGUCGUGAGACAGUUCGGUCCCUAUCUGCCGUGGGCGUUGGAAGAUUGAGAGGGGUUGCUCCUAGUACGAGAGGACCGGAGUGAACGCACCACUGGUGUUCGGGUUGUCAUGCCAAUGGCAUUGCCCGGUAGCUAAGUGCGGAAGAGAUAACCGCUGAAAGCAUCUAAGCGGGAAACUUGCCUCGAGAUGAGUCUUCCCUGUCACUUUAAGUGACCUAAAGGAACGUUUAAGACUAAGACGUUGAUAGGCUGGGUGUGUAAGCGUAGCGAUACGUUGAGCUAACCAGUACUAAUGAACCGUGAGGCUUAACCUG
rnacentral:rRNA from 1 species